AUUGAACGCUGGCGGCAGGCCUAACACAUGCAAGUCGAACGGUAACAGGAAGAAGCUUGCUUCUUUGCUGACGAGUGGCGGACGGGUGAGUAAUGUCUGGGAAACUGCCUGAUGGAGGGGGAUAACUACUGGAAACGGUAGCUAAUACCGCAUAACGUCGCAAAACCAAAGAGGGGGACCUUCGGGCCUCUUGCCAUCGGAUGUGCCCAGAUGGGAUUAGCUAGUAGGUGGGGUAACGGCUCACCUAGGCGACGAUCCCUAGCUGGUCUGAGAGGAUGACCAGCCACACUGGAACUGAGACACGGUCCAGACUCCUACGGGAGGCAGCAGUGGGGAAUAUUGCACAAUGGGCGCAAGCCUGAUGCAGCCAUGCCGCGUGUAUGAAGAGGGCCUUCGGGUUGUAAAGUACUUUCAGCGGGGAGGAAGGGAGUAAAGUUAAUACCUUUGCUCAUUGACGUUACCCGCAGAAGAAGCACCGGCUAACUCCGUGCCAGCAGCCGCGGUAAUACGGAGGGUGCAAGCGUUAAUCGGAAUUACUGGGCGUAAAGCGCACGCAGGCGGUUUGUUAAGUCAGAUGUGAAAUCCCCGGGCUCAACCUGGGAACUGCAUCUGAUACUGGCAAGCUUGAGUCUCGUAGAGGGGGGUAGAAUUCCAGGUGUAGCGGUGAAAUGCGUAGAGAUCUGGAGGAAUACCGGUGGCGAAGGCGGCCCCCUGGACGAAGACUGACGCUCAGGUGCGAAAGCGUGGGGAGCAAACAGG
rnacentral:rRNA from 1 species